GACGAACGCUGGCGGCGUGCUUAACACAUGCAAGUCGAACGGAAAGGCCCUGCUUUUGUGGGGUGCUCGAGUGGCGAACGGGUGAGUAACACGUGAGUAACCUGCCCUUGACUUUGGGAUAACUUCAGGAAACUGGGGCUAAUACCGGAUAGGAGCUCCUGCUGCAUGGUGGGGGUUGGAAAGUUUCGGCGGUUGGGGAUGGACUCGCGGCUUAUCAGCUUGUUGGUGGGGUAGUGGCUUACCAAGGCUUUGACGGGUAGCCGGCCUGAGAGGGUGACCGGCCACAUUGGGACUGAGAGACGGCCCAGACUGCUACGGGAGGCAGCAGGGGGGAAUAUUGCACAAUGGGCGGAAGCCGGAUGCAGCAACGCCGCGUGCGGGAUGACGGCCUUCGGGUUGUAAACCGCUUUCGCCUGUGACGAAGCGGGAGUGACGGUAAUGGGUAAAGAAGCACCGGCUAACUACGUG
rnacentral:rRNA from 1 species